rnacentral:lncRNA from 1 species
AGACCGGGUUCCCGCUGCGCGUGAUCGGGCCGUGGUGGUUGUGUGCCCACGUUUAGCAGCGUGCUGGGGUGCUGUAUAAAUUCUAAAAUGCCACUUUUUGGAGGGCAUGCGUUCCGUCCUUAAUCUCAUUCCUGGCCCUCGGGCCAGGGUUAUUUUGGGAGGUCCAUGGCGCCUGCGGUAGCCUUCUACCCCCAACCCAAUCCCCUCUCCACCCCACCUCAC